CAGGUUUGGGCCAGAUGACUUUCGGUCUGACUGGUUCUUGCUUGCAUGUUUAGGUCCUUAUAGAAAUUAAACAGAAGUUACUCAUUGUGUCAUGAUAUCUGUAUGCAAUGUUGUAACCUUCUUCUUGAGACACCGCUGAAUAAAUAAAUGCUGAAACUUGCAUAGUUAAGUGGUUCCCAAAUGACCUUUUGGCGUAAUGGAAUCAGCCCUUUCCUGCAGCCACUGGAGCAAGGGGGGCUUUACUCCCAACCCUUAUGUGUCUUAUCCAGCAGCACUGCAGUGGCUGAAUAAGGGGAAGGAGGUGUUACAUCAGCUUCCCCUGUCACAUUUUCCCAGCUGGUCCAAAUAUUCAAACUGGCUCAAAAAAAGUAGCUUCUCUAAUCUCAAGGCGAUCAUAAUCCGCCCUGUUAUGCCCCUCCAUGGCAGCAAAGUACCUUCCACUGCGGUGAGCCCAGUCACACUUUCAUCAAAACCUUGAUGGGAAUGAAAGGCCUUCUAUCAAAAAACGCUGCGCACCACUACUCUCUUUCAAAUUAUCUGAAGAAAAAAAAAGAAAAAAGACUGUGACUAUGAGAAAAAAAAAGAGGAAGAGCUGAGUGACGUGUGUUUUUGUUUGUUUGUGGGAUAAUUCAAAUGUAACAGAUGGGUUUUUCAGGUUCACUAAUUUCAGCUGCCUUUCAGCACUGCGGGUCAGGAACAAUGUUUUGCCUCAAACUGCUAUUUAAAUCUAUGUAAAUAGUUACACAAGCACCUCCCUGGAAGUAAAACAGUUCAACCACUGUAUUUAGCGCCACUGUUGUGGAGUGAUGCUCCUCACUCAGGGAUCGUUAUGCAUAAAAAAAAGGGAAAGUGUGUUUUUCCUGUUUUGGGUUUAGUUACACAAAUCAAGUUACACCCAGUUUAAAUAACUUGUUCUGGUCCCACCACCACAGAGCUUCUGCACACGUUAUUCACACAGUUUAAAUUUGUGAAACCUCAAGGCACCGUGUUUACCACAACUUUCUAAAACAGUUGGAAAAAUAAAUCACUAACUAAUCAUUAGUUAUGUAAAAGAGAAGAUAAGGUAGCAAAAGCAAGGAGUAAAAGUGUAUCCAUACAUGUGCAUGGCACUUUUUUAAGUAAACCUUGCCAGUACUGUGUUGAAAACCCCUUUUACCUUCUGAACUGCCUCAAUUCUUCAUGGCACAGAUUCAACAAGGUUCUCACCCUACCACUGAAAUGUCCCAGCAGAAAUCAAGACUCAUCUGACCAGCAACUUUUUCCACUUUUUCCAUCUGAUUGGCUAAUGAGAGAUAGUUACGUAAAUGAGCAGCUGAGCAGGUGUACCUGGAAAAGAUGCCGGGGAGUGUAGAUAUUCAGUCAAUAAAGGAGCUUAGCAGAGAUGAAAAAUCACAACAAAAGUUGCCUCAAGGCGCUUUAUAUUGUACAGUAGAUACAGAGAAA
ensembl:lncRNA